rnacentral:rRNA from 1 species
CGGUCGGUAACUCCCAAGAGAUCGGGAUAACACCUGGAAACAGAUGCUAAUACCGGAUAACAACAGAUGAUGCCUAUCAACUGUUUAAAAGAUGGUUCUGCUAUCACUCUUGGAUGGACCUGCGGUGCAUUAGCUAGUUGGUAGGGUAACGGCCUACCAAGGCGAUGAUGCAUAGCCGAGUUGAGAGACUGAUCGGCCACAUUGGGACUGAGACACGGCCCAAACUCCUACGGGAGGCAGCAGGC